rnacentral:rRNA from 1 species
UGGGGAAUAUUGCACAAUGGGCGCAAGCCUGAUGCAGCAACGCCGCGUGAACGAUGAAGGUCUUCGGAUCGUAAAGUUCUGUUGCAGGGGAAGAUAAUGACGGUACCCUGUGAGGAAGCCCCGGCUAACUACGUGCCAGCAGCCGCGGUAAUACGUAGGGGGCUAGCGUUAUCCGGAUUUACUGGGCGUAAAGGGUGCGUAGGUGGUCUUUCAAGUCGGUGGUUAAAGGCUACGGCUCAACCGUAGUUAGCCUCCGAAACUGGAAGACUUGAGUGCAGGAGAGGAAAGUGGAAUUCCCAGUGUGGCGGUAAAAUGCGUGGAUAUUGGGAGGAACACCAGUAGCGAAGGAGGCUUUCUGGACUGAAACUGACACUGAGGCACGAAAGCGUGGGUAGCAAACAGG